AGGCAAUAUACUGACGAAGGGAGUUUGCUAGCAGGCACCUCACUGGAAGAAAUACCUUAAUAGGAAGAGAACAAAAAGAUUUUAAAAACAGAAGGAAACAGAAUGUAAUAUUUUAGAGGUGCUUUUCUGCUCAACUGCUGAAGAGGCAUGAAGAGCACUGCAUUAAGUAGCGCAAGCCUAAUGACAGAGACUUAUAGGAGCUCAUUUAGUCAUGCUGCAUAUCAUUCAAAGAUCAUUAUAUGUUUUCAAGUCCAACAGAAAUCAUCAAAAUGUCAAGCUGAAAUUCAGCACUCUGCAAAUGCUGACCAAAGUCCUGCCCAAGGAGCAGCGGAUGCAGUAGAUUGUGCUGACUCAGUGAAGUCAUAGGUCUUGAGUAUCUUCAGCACCUCUGUUGUUUGAACUGGGUGGCCUCCCUUGAUGAACUCAAAGCAUUGUGAAAAAUCAAGCUUGUCCCUCAUCCCUGAUCUGUGACUCCACAGUGUCUAUGCAUAUGCCUGAAUCUUGAUAUCUUUGCAGGAUGUCAGUUCACAGCAAGUUAGAUGUGCUCUAGUCAUCUAAGAAGAAGGUAUUACAUGUUCACUUACGUUCUUGUUGAGAUCAAGGAAGCCUUUUUGACGCUGGUUUGUGAAGAAUCAUGACUGAACACUUAUUUUCUUCUGUUGCCCAUUUCUUCUCAAGAUCUUCUUUCUUCAUGAGGUGACCUCAGUUUAUUUCACAGAAUCCAUGGAUACCUUGUGUAGGGACAAAAGCACUUCAUAUCUUUACAGAAAAUUGUAUCCUGAUGACGACCCUGUUCUCAUUAACUUUAAAUGAAGACCAAAUCGAAGGAGUGAGGCUGAUAUUGGACCAGUGAAGUGAGAUCACUAUGAUGAAAUUUGUCUCCUUGGUAAAAUUAGUCAGUUCAGCCAUUCACAGAAAAUAGCACUGUAAAUGAGUCUCUAAAGAGCAAUAAAAGAAGCAUGAGAGAAGAGAAAAAUAACGCUGUAUUUACAAUGUUUAUGCACACAUAGACAUUUACAAUCACUGUUUUGGGAAUAAGUAAAUAAUAAGUAUUGAUUUUGCCAGGUACCAUGUAAAGCUUGUACUUUGACUUCACUGUAGGCCUCACAAGAGAAAUUGGUUUUGGGAAGGCAGUUAAAGAGGAAAAGAAAAAUAGAUUUACAAGUUUUUAACAACCUUAAAGCAAGUCACUAAUUACAUUACCAUAGGUACUAACACUAAUUUCCUUCUGUGAUAGAAUCAUUAGCUUCAUUGAAGAGAUCUCCCUGUCCGCUAGGAUUAAGCUUGUCCCAGUGGUAAGAUCUAUGUGGAAUGACAGUACUACAGACAUUAGAGCAAGAUUUGCUCACUUUGCACAUGCAUGUCUUCAGAGCCAUCCUUGUCAGCAACCAAUGUGUACUCUGUAGUUAUCUGAAUUCAUCUUUCAGAUGACAGCAGUAGGACCCCUUUUCAAAUUGAACCAAUUUGUGUCUAAACACACAUUUUCUAAGUAGUAUUCACGCAGAAUACUGCCCAAACUUUCCUCAGAAGACGAACUGCUGUAUCAGUGCAAGCAGUGCAAGAAGUUCUGGAGAACAGAAAAAUCUGGAUGCAAAAUUUUGUUAAUAAAUAAAGACUAUUCUUGAGCACUUGUCCCUGAACAUGUAACAGAUCCAGUAAGUAAUAAGUUCUAAGAGAAGUGUAAGAGAUUGCUCUUAAAUGAUUUGCCAUUAGCAAAUAUCUGCAGUAUUUCACCAAAACCAACAAAUUUCAUGCCUCCAGAGAGAAAAGGCUGUUUAUUAUGCUAACAUCAAGUGUUGCAACACUCAACAUACACAUUGUUAAUGCAUAAACUGUAUUGUUUCAGCUGCAGCGUCCUCAUUCCCCACUAUUCCCUGUGUUGCUAUCAGCUUUCUUAAUUUGUUGUGUGAUGUGCAUUUCUUUUUAUCCUUUCUUAUUUUUUUCUGUGCAGUAA
rnacentral:lncRNA from 7 species